rnacentral:RNase_P_RNA from 1 species
UAAGUAAGUCAAACAGCCGCGGGUAUUUUAUACCUGAGGAAAGUCGGAGCUCCACAGGGCAGGAUGCUGGAUAACGUCCAGUGGGGGCGACCCCAAGGCUAGUGCCACAGAGAUAUACCGCCUCUACGGAGGUAAGGGUGGAAAGGUGAGGUAAGAGCUCACCAGCAUUUAGGUGACUAAAUGGCUCGGUAAACCCCAUUCGGAGCAAGACCAAAUAGAGGAACAUGAGGCUGCCCGCUUCGUUCCCGGGUUAGGUCGCUGGAAAUAUCAGGUAACUGGUGUUCAAGAUAGAUGGCUGUUUAAAACAGAACUCCGCUUAUAGAUUUGCUUACAAU